UAUAUUGUAUAUCUGCUAGUUUCUGAGACUGCUCGUUUCGUUGGUUUUGAUGUGAUGAUGAGUUUUGAAUUUUGAUUAUGUGUGUAUGUUUUGCUUUGAAUUGAUAUUUGUUGAUAUAGAACGGUAAAUCUGAUAGUAAUUGCUUUGAAAUUGUUGUUGAACUAUGCUCUGCGCCUCUGGGCUACGAUUGGAAUUGAUUUUCUGUCAAAAACGAUGUAGCUUAAAGAUCGGACAGUUCUUUUGCAGUUUUCGUUUGAAGAUUGGUAAUCUGAACUCUUAG
rnacentral:lncRNA from 1 species